rnacentral:rRNA from 1 species
GAUGAACGCUAGCUACAGGCUUAACACAUGCAAGUCGAGGGGCAGCAUGGUCUUAGCUUGCUAAGACUGAUGGCGACCGGCGCACGGGUGAGUAACACGUAUCCAACCUGCCGUCUACUCUUGGACAGCCUUCUGAAAGGAAGAUUAAUACAAGAUGGCAUCAUGAGUCCGCAUGUUCACAUGAUUAAAGGUAUUCCGGUAGACGAUGGGGAUGCGUUCCAUUAGAUAGUAGGCGGGGUAACGGCCCACCUAGUCUUCGAUGGAUAGGGGUUCUGAGAGGAAGGUCCCCCACAUUGGAACUGAGACACGGUCCAAACUCCUACGGGAGGCAGCAGUGAGGAAUAUUGGUCAAUGGGCGAGAGCCUGAACCAGCCAAGUAGUGUGAAGGAUGACUGCCCUAUGGGUUGUAAACUUCUUUAUAAAGGAAUAAAGUCGGGGAUGUAUACCCGUUUGCAUGUACUUAUGAAUAAGGAUCGGCUAACUCCGUGCCAG